rnacentral:lncRNA from 1 species
GGAUCUAGGACAGCACCCAGCACCUAGAAGGCCUCAGCUGGGAAGUGCUGGAUCAAAGAAUAAAGGAGUGAGAUUGGGGAAGACACAAUAAGAAAUGAAGGCCUUAGAGGAGUCAAGUUGGGGGAAGCAUCCUGGAACCCUACAGCAGAUCGUGUGAAGCAGUCAAGAGGCCUGCGGAAAUAUUCAUCUGGACCCACACACUCGCUCUGUGUCUGCCUCUCCCGCCCUGUCUGUGUGGACCGGUGAGUCACUUGACUGCCUUUCUCAUUUCAUUUUGUAGA